UACGUAGGGGGCAAGCGUUGUCCGGAUUUAUUGGGCGUAAAGAGCGUGUAGGCGGCCAGGUAGGUCUGCUGUGAAAACUCGAGGCUUAACCUCGAGCUGUCGGCGGAAACCAUCUGGCUAGAGUCCGGAAGAGGAGAAUGGAAUUCCCGGUGUAGCGGUGAAAUGCGCAGAUAUCGGGAAGAACACCAGUGGCGAAGGCGGCUACCUGGACAGGUACUGACGCUAACAGCGCGAAAGCUAGGGGAGCAAACAGG
rnacentral:rRNA from 1 species